rnacentral:rRNA from 1 species
GUGGGGAAUAUUGGGCAAUGGGGGCAACCCUGACCCAGCGACGCCGCGUGGGUGAAGAAAUCCCUCGGGAUGUAAAGCCCUGUUGUAUGGGAAGAGCAGAAGACGGUACCAUACGAGGAAGCCCCGGCAAACUACGUGCCAGCAGCCGCGGUAAUACGUAGGGGGCAAGCGUUGUCCGGAAUUACUGGACGUAAAGCGCACGCAGGCUGAAUUAUAAGUCGGUAGUCAAAUACGGAGGCUCAACUUCCGGAUAUCUAUCGAUACUGUAAAUCUAGAGUAUGUGAGAGGGAAGCGGAAUUCCCGGUGUAGCGGUGAAAUGCGUAGAUAUUGGGAGGAACACCAGUGGCGAAGGCGGCUUCCUGGCACAAUACUGACGCUCAUGUGCGAAAGCUAGGGCAGCGAACAGGAUUAGAUACCCCUGUAGUCC